CUGGCCCAUCCACCCAGUUCGGUGCCUUUCCCUGCGCGUGUGUGCGCUACGAACGACCAGGAUUUGGACGAACCUGUCCGCGGCCCCUUUCCCCAACUUUGACGAACCCUAGGCGAGGCCGGUGGCCGCGUCCCUGCCCGUCGGCGCCGCCCGCCGCCAUCGCUUGCCAUCGUCGUGCUAUCCAUCCAGCCGCCCCAGUCCCCUUCUGCGCCUCUGCCUAGACACCUAUGCAACCGCCCGCCCCCAGCCCCCUUCUGCGCCGCUGUGGGCUGCUGCCCUGUCCGGCGAGGCGGCGACCCCGGCGAAGUGUCGGCGAGGUGGCCCUUCCCAGGAGACGCCUUUUUCUCAGCAGCCGCAACACAGAGAAAUUGGACAGCAGCAAGCCAGCAAGAGGAAAGCGCAAAGGAAUUAGGAGGGCAAGAUGAGUAAAAGGAACAUGACAUUGAAUUCUUUUUUCCAAGUUGGAACCACGGGAACAUUUAGUAAUUUUGUUUCUAUAUUAUCAAGACUGGAUUGAGGAACAAAAUGCGUGAUGAUUGGAUGAAUCGUAGAAGGGUAUGUUACAUUGAGCGAGAUGUAUUUGUUAGCAUUGAAGAAUCAAAGAUCAUCGAGCGAUUUCAAGGUUAUCGUAAUCGCAAAGGCGUUUUGCCUCGUCCUAGACGUAAGUUUUCAAAUUUUGCAUCUAUUAUUAACUAGUUUUACCGGUUAUACUAUGCACGGAUUUGCAUUUUUAAAUUUAUCAUUGAAGGUAUAGGUUCUUCUGCUAUUGAAGAUGUAGUCAUGGGAGGCUCAGAUCAACCUAUCAUUUGAUUUGGUAUAAAUCUUUUGUCGUCUAUAUAUGCUACAUAUUGUCUUUUGAUUUGUCUUGCUUUAUUAUCAUGCAACAAAUGCUGCCAUUGAAUAUCAUGUUUGGUUUCUUUUUAGUUAUGCAACAUAGAUUGACUUUUGUAUGCUGAA